UACGUAGGGUGCGAGCGUUAAUCGGAAUUACUGGGCGUAAAGCGUGCGCAGGCGGUUCGUUAUGUCCGAUGUGAAAGCCCCGAGCUCAACGUUGGGAAUGGCAUUGGAAACUGGCGGGCUGGAGUGUGGCAGAGGGGGUGGAAUUCCACGUGUAGCAGUGAAAUGCGUAGAGAUGUGGAGGAACACCGAUGGCGAAGGCAGCCCCCUGGGCCAACACUGACGCUCAGGCACGAAAGCGUGGGGAGCAAACAG
rnacentral:rRNA from 1 species